GAUUUGGCACUGCGUUAAGAGAAUUUAACCUGAUUGGGUACGAACGCAUACCCUGACACACCCCUGACCUUCACGCAGUGGAGGUUGCUUGCGUGAAGGUCAGGGGUGUGUCAGGGUAUGCGUUCGUACCCAAUCAGGUUAAAUUCUCUUAACGCAGUGCCAAAUCACU
rnacentral:miRNA from 1 species